rnacentral:rRNA from 1 species
GAUGAACGCUGGCGGCGUGCCUAAUACAUGCAAGCCGAGCGAAUGGAUUAAGAGCUUGCUCUCAUGAAGUUAGCGGCGGACGGGUGAGUAACACGUGGGUAACCUGCCCAUAAGACUAGGAUAACUCCGGGAAACCGGGGCUAAUACCGGAUAACAUUUUGAACCGCAUGGUUCGAAAUUGAAAGGCGGCUUCGGCUGUCACUUAUGGAUGGACCCGCGUCGCAUUAGCUAGUUGGUGAGGUAACGGCUCACCAAGGCAACGAUGCGUAGCCGACCUGAGAGGGUGAUCGGCCACACUGGGACUGAGACACGGCCCAGACUCCUACGGGAGGCAGCAGUAGGGAAUCUUCCGCAAUGGACGAAAGUCUGACGGAGCAACGCCGCGUGAGUGAUGAAGGCUUUCGGGUCGUAAAACUCUGUUGUUAGGGAAGAACAAGUGCUAGUUGAAUAAGCUGGCACCUUGACGGUACCUAACCAGAAAGCCACGGCUAACUACGUGCCAGCCGCCGCCGUAA